UUUCAUAGGACACAAUUCAUUGAUCGGUCACAAAAUCAAAAUUUUUAUUGGUGACGACUCAUUCGUUGGUCACAAAUAAAAAAUUUCACAAGUCCCAAUUCAUUGAUCUGUCACAAAAUCAAAAUUUUUAUUAGGUACAACUCAUACGUCGAUCACAAAUAAAAUUUUUUAUAGGUCACAAUUCACUGAUCGAUCACAAAAUCAAAAUUUUUAUUGGUCACAAAUUAUCAAAAUAAUUGAUCACAAUUAAUCUUACAGUCACAACUUAAUAAAUUAUGAGUCGCAAUUACAUAUUUUUAUGUCACAAGUUAUUUAUUUGACACAAAUUAACCAAUUUAUUGGUCACGAACACCCCGAUGUGACGAUGACCCAUGCCAUCUAUCCCCGACCACUGCAUCACGACCACCACGUACUGCAACCACCUCUAUGGCAACCACCACACACCACAUCAAAAUAAAAUCACCGCCAUAGUAUACACACCACCACCACACAGCAAACUCCGAAACCAUUGUAUCAUCCCCGUCAGAUCGCCGGUGUCUUACGUGUGACCACCACUAUCACCACCCCCACCACAAAACCACCUCAAAAAUAACCACAAAAAUACAACAACUUGACUUCACCGCCUUCGCCGCCACUGAUGCCGCCUCCGCACCACAACCUCUGCCUGUUUCAACAAUAACCAACACCACCACCUGAAAUCGACCAUCUACUUCACCUCUACCACACCACAUCCAUCAACAUCAACUCAAAGAUGCAAACUAAAAUAGAGACAACAGGUCGAUGCCUCGCAACGGAUGAAUCACCGCGAAUGAAACAAAAAUUAGAUCCAAGAGAAAAACACCAGUGACCGUCGGAGCUGGAGCCGUCGUGUGCAGGAGCUGCGGUACGCCCAAACCAACAGCGAUGAAGCCGGUCGUGUGUAACUGCCGUUCGAGCGCGGCGAUGCUGCUGCCACUUCCAGCGUCGUUGCGCUGGUCGUGUGCAGUUGCCCCCGCCUUUCUUCUACUUGUCGCUGGAGCCGCCGAAGAGAGGGAAGUGGAGAUGAUGGUUGUGUGAUUUGGGAAUUUGGGAUUUUUAGGGCCAAGUUGGUUAUUUUAGAGAGAGAGAAGAUUAGAGAAUAAAUUAGUAUUAAACAUUUGGAUUAGUUUCUGAUUUUUGUAUAGAUAAAUUUUGGGUUAAUCUGAUUUUUGAAUUUGAAUUUUUAAACAUCUGGUGGGCUGUAAUUUCCUCAUGUAUGAAUGAACAUUUUUGCGGAUUGUGU
rnacentral:lncRNA from 1 species